rnacentral:lncRNA from 1 species
CUCACACUUUAAAAGCAUUAAAAAAAAAAAAAAAAAAAAAAAAAAAAAACCAAUACAGUGCACAGAGUAAUCUCCUCCAACAACACGUGUAUUUGGUGUAGGCAGCAAGUGGCACAGCUCUGUGUCAUAAAGAACUCAAGUUAUAAGCACCAAGCACCAAAGCUCCAGCCAAACCAGCCAAAUGUGCCUACUGACAGCCAGAAUCCUUAGGAAAGACAGCCAGUAAAAAAGUCAAACAAAGCACCUGAUUCUCAGCCUUCUCAGUCCUUUUUGAAAAUCCGGAGGCCUCCCUGUUGGCUUCACUACUGGCCUGCAAAGCCCGAGCUCACAGUCUGUUGGAAGUCCUUGUAACUAGACAGCAGAGAAUUUGGAUUGGACUGAAUUUCAGGAAGCCGUUGCAUUAGAUCAAAAAUAGCGCCUCUCUGAGCGACUGGAAAAAAGGCAGCAUCACACCCAUUUUUAAGAAGGGAAGAAAGGAUGAUCCUGGGAACUACCAAUGUAACAGUCUCACCUCUGUGCUGGGAAAGAGCACAGAGUAGAUCCUCCUGGAAGUUGCGUUAAGGCACAUGCAAGACAGGGAGGAGAUACAGGAGAACCAGCUUGUCUUCACCGAGGGUAAAAAUCCUGCAUGGCCAACCUAGUGGCUGUCUAUGAUGGCAUCACUGCAUCAAUAGACAAGUGAAGAGCCACUGAUACCAUCAACCUGGAUGUCAGUAAGGCCUUUGACACAAUAUCCUGCAACAUCCUUCUCUCCAAAUGGGAAAGAUACAGAUUUGAUGGGUGGAUUGUUGAAUGGACAAAGAACCAGCUGCAGGAUUGGGUCCAGAGAGCGGCGGCCAAUGGCUCCAUGUCUGGAUGGCGAUUGGUGAUGAGUGGUGUCCCACAUGGGCCCAUGCUGAGGCUGAUACUGUUCAAUAUCUUCAACGGCGACAUCAGUGGGGUCGAGCACACCCUCAGAAAGUUUGCUGACAACACCAAGCUGUGGGGUGCAGUGACACACCAGAGGGACAGGACACCAACCAGAGCUGGACAGGCUCAAGCAACGGGUACAGGGAAAUCUCAUCAGGUUCGACAAAUCCAGAUGCAGUGUCUUGCACCUGGGACAAGAGAACCCCCCGCUACCAAUACAUACCGGGGGAUGAAAGGGCUGAGCAUAGGCCUGUCCCAAAAGACCUGGAGGUACUGGUGGACGGCAAGCUGGACGUGAGCCAGCAAUGUGCCCUCCCAGCCCAGAAAACCAACCAUAUCCUGGUCUGCAUCAAAAGAAGCGUGGUCAGCAGGCGAAGGGAGGUGAUCCUGCCCUUCUGCUCUGUGCUGAAGAGGCCUCACCUGGAGUACUGCAUCCAGAUGUAGAGUCCUCAGUGCAGAAGAGACAUGGACCUGUUGGAGCACAACCAGAGGUUGGCCACAAAAAAAUGAACCAAGGGAUCAAACACCUUUCCUACAAGGACAGGCUGAGAGAGCUGGGGCUGUUCAGGCUCCGAGGUGACCUGGUAACAGUCUUUCAGAACCUAAAGGGGAUCUAAAGGAAAGAACAAGGGAAAAAUUAGGUUAGAUAUCAGGAAAAUAUCUUUUACAGUGAGGGUGGUGAGGCAGUGGAACAGGUUGCCCAGAGAUGUAGUGGGUGCCCUGUACCUUUCAAGGGGAGGCUGGAUCAGGUUCUGGGCAGCCUGAUCUAGCUGUGGACGUCCCUGUUCAUUGUGGGGGAGUUGGACAAGAUCAUCAUAAAUGGUCCCUUCCAACUCUAAGGAGUCUAUACCUGAAGCCGUGAGACACGAUGACACAAAGGACAUUGAUGGCCUGGUGUGCAAUCAGGGCAGGUGGGGAAGCCUGCAUGCUCAGCAGCUCUGGGGUAACUCACCAAGUACUCCGGUCAGGAAGAUCCACAGAGCCUCUCUGUGCCAGUCCCGGUAUUCAGCAGAUCAGAGGCCUUGCUUCAUCACACUGUUGAGUCCCAUAGCUGCAGAGCUAGCUAUUGAAUGGGGUUCAGGGGAUGGAAGGAAGAGGGGUGGGGAAUUUGGGUAUCAUACAAAUUAGGAAACUAAUAGCAUCCCCUGACAAUUGGGAUGGAGAUAUCCAGGAUGAUCCUGACAAAGUGGUCCAGUAGAGGACAAUCCUUUGUUUCCUAUAAAUACAAAGCCAGAUCUGUCAUAAAAACAGAAAGAACCAUAGGACCCUGGGGUGGUCAGCCACAAUGUGCUCUGAGAACUAUGCCUUGGCAUCUGUUACCACUGACAGAUUUGUAAGGGAGAUAUAGGAGAGAACCUGACAAAACGGGAACAGAAUACUUGUGGUCAGUAUGCUCGGGUGGUACAGACUGUAUUAUACUGAGUGAGGAUGAAGCAAAUGGCCACUGGAGUUCAGGAGUGUUCUUCAGGUCCUGGCUGAUGCACUUCACUCUACCACCAGCCACGGAGCUCAGUGGGAUGGGAUAACAGACUCCAUGGAUUGAGGUCUCACACCACCAAUUAAGGAGCUCCAGCAAUCCUUAGACCCCAUUGAGCUGCAAAAUGAGAUCAGAAGAGACACAGAACAUAAUUUAAUACAUGAUAAUGAUGCACAGAAUGCCCUUAAACAACUCUGCACGGGUGCAAUUAACACAUGGCGCUGUUAAUUACAGCCAUGAAAUGGGAUGAUGUGGGAGCAGACAAACCACGUUUGGAGCCCCAGGUUGGAGAUUAUGAGGCGAGAGCCAUGUAAAAGGGAACAGCAGCUCAACCAGAAGCUCUGCUGUGCAGUCGGGUCAAAGCAGGAGGUGAUGGCCCCAGGAGGGAAAAUCCAUCCUUGGAUCUUCAGAGGCAUUUGCAACCCCAUCCUGGUGGGGGAUCAUUAAGAUUGGAAAAGAAUUCUGAGAUCGAUUCCAACCAUCACCCCAUGCCCACUGUGUCCGUAAGAGCUGCUGAUGGCCACGUUCAAGCUCCAUCCUACUUCAGCACAGCAUAGCUCCUGCUUCAGAGCUGCCAGUGGCCUCUCCCAACUCUCUUCAUCUGCUCUGUGGCCCUGGAGCUGAAUCUGGAGCUCUCAGCAGCUGGUACAAAGCUGGGCCAGCCCUGCUGCAGGAGAUGCUAUUUGCUGGCUGCCCUCUGAGGGCUUCGAAGAUUGGCAGACCCCAGAGACCUGCAGCAGGGACAUGGGAUGAGGGAGACAACAGUGCCUACCUGCCUGCAAGCCGGUCCUCUGAAGCGCUGAGUACUGAGUCUGACUCCACGUAAGCUCCUUAGAAAAGAAUGCAGCUUCCAGGGAUGUGAUGGAUUUGAUCAAAGAGGUCAAGCAGAGAAGGGAUCAUUGAGGUUAAUGGCUGAGGUGAAGCAGGACGGCAGGAGGGAUGGGGCUUCCCCAUAUCACCACAUACAAGCCGUCCUGGUGUACCCCAUGUGAAGGUGUGGGGACUUUCACCUGGUGCUGAUGCUCAGCUUUUCCCCUCCAGCCUCCAUACAGGGGAUGCAGGGCCACCUGCGCAGCACCCAGCCUGGCCCCACAUGGGGAGCUCUGACUGCUUUGUGCAUGUCCUUUAAAGGCCUUCUCCCUUCAAGCUGUUCCCUUGG